rnacentral:lncRNA from 1 species
GAUCAUUCCCUUGACUUUGGACUUCGCUUGUAUUGAACCCCUGAACAGACUGGUUUCCACCCAUGCCACAUUAGAUUCUGUGUGUCUGGAUACGACCGAAAGAAGGGUCGUCUCAAUACCUGCUUUCCAAAGUGUUGCCCUGUAACUCAGGAGAUAUGACUGGAUUUUUGUUUUCCUCUACAAACUUUAAUUGUGCAAAUAUGUAAUUAAUUCCUAGCAUGUGCAAGACACCAUGUGCUAACCAAAAACGGAGUCUAUAAAACUCAGAAUGGGCUUGCUCAUGGUUCAGUCCCCCUCCUUAGGUAUCACCUUUUUUUUUUUUUUUUAGACAGAGUCUUACUUUGUCACCCAGGCUGGAGUGCAGUGACUUGAUAUCACCUCACUGCAACCUCCACCUCCUAGGCUCCAAGUGAUCCUUCCACCUCAGCCUCUCGAGUACCUGGGACUACAGGUGUGCACCAACAUGCCAAGCUAAUUUUUGUAUAUAUAUAUUUUUAGUAGAGACAGGGUUUUGCCAUGUUGCCCAGCGUGGUCUCAAACUCCUGGGCCUCCCAAAGUGCUGGAAUUAUAAGUGUGAGCCACCACAGCUGGCCAAGUAUCACCUUCUAAGUAAUGACUUUGUGACGCAUAGAAGAGCAACACCUUUUAAAGUCACACCUCAUCUGCCCUAUGGGGAAAAAAGUAUGUUAUUAAGCACUUACUUUGUCCAAGCUCUGUGGAAAAUGCUGGAGAUAUCAUUUCUACUCUAAAGGGCCAGAACAUUUACUUCAAACAUUUGAAGCAUGGCCAUCAACGGCUUGGGAAAGCCAAAACGGAACAGAUGUUGACCUAAAAAGAAAGCAAGUGGGCCGGACGUGAUGGCUCAUGUCUGUAAUCCCAGCACUUUGGGAGGCCGAGGCGGAUGGAACACCUGAGGUCAGGAGUUCAAGACCAGCCUGUCCAACAUGGUGAAACCCUGUCUCUACUAAAAAUACAAAAAUUAGCUAGUGUGUUGGUGGGCAUCUGUAAUCCCAGCUACUCAGAGGCUGAGGCAGGAGAAUUACUUGAACCCGGGAGGUGAAGGUUGCAGUGAGCCAAGAUUGCACCAUUGCACUCCAGUCUGGGAAACAAGAGCAAAAUUCCAUCUCAAAAAAAAAAAGAGAGAGACAGAGAGGUACCAUUGAAGAGAAGAGAAGAGAAACACAGUGGCUCCUGACAGGAAUCAAGGUUGCUAAGAGACCACCUGUGCUGAAUGCACUUUGUUCUGGCAAGAGCAGAAAACUGAGAAGCCGUGUUACCUACCACUAGCUGGGAUUAAUUCAGGGAGCGGGAGUGUUCUGGAUAUGACUGGUAAAAACUGGAUAUUAAUUUCUACUACUCCUCCCAAAAGUCUAGAAGAUGAAAUUGUGGGAAGACUUCUAAAAAUUUUGUUUGUUAUCUUUGUUGACUUAAUGUCUAUUAUAUAUGUUGUGAUAACUUCUUAGAAAGCUUCCUUUCCAUGUACAUUUCAAAUUGAAUUACAGUGAAUAAAAAUGUGCAUUUU